UACGGAAGGCAGCGGUGGGGAAUAUUGCACAAUGGGCGCAAGCCUGAUGCAGCCAUGCCGCGUGUAUGAAGAAGGCCUUCGGGUUGUAAAGUACUUUCAGUCGUGAGGAAGGUGUUAAGGUUAAUAACCUUAGCAAUUGACGUUAGCGACAGAAGAAGCACCGGCUAACUCCGUGCCAGCAGCCGCGGUAAUACGGAGGGUGCGAGCGUUAAUCGGAAUUACUGGGCGUAAAGGGCACGCAGGCGGUUAAUUAAGUUGGAUGUGAAAUCCCCGGGCUUAACCUGGGAAUGGCAUUCAAGACUGGUUAGCUAGAGUCUUGUAGAGGGGGGUAGAAUUCCAUGUGUAGCGGUGAAAUGCGUAGAGAUGUGGAGGAAUACCGGUGGCGAAGGCGGCCCCUGGACAAAGACUGACGCUCAUGUGCGAAAGCGUGGGGAGCAAACAGGGAUUAGAUACC
rnacentral:rRNA from 1 species